GGUGCCCUGGUAUUUUCAGAUUUUUCAAUAACAAGGUUUGGAGAUAUUACUUCAUAGAGAGAUGUCACUCUUCUGUGUUUCAAAGUGUUUCUGAAAAUUAAGCUCUAUGAAAAGAAUCCUGGUGCUCUUGGAGGAAGGGGGCAGUGCCAGGGGCUGGCCCGUAAACAGUUACCCAGCAACUCCAACUUUAGUGUUUCAUGAGUAAACUUAAGCUUGGCAUGUCAAUAAAAUAAGAUUGAUUCUAGCACUAAGAAGCAAAGUGCUAAGGAAGAGAAAUAGUAAUUAGAGGGAAAACAACAACAACAACACAUGAUUCCUGAUCGGGGAAAGGAUCUUCCUUUUCGCAAAAUUCUUUGCAAAAUGUCCCUGAUGGAUGACGAGUAAGUGAAGAAAACAAGUCCUAGACUCAAGUAAAUAAUGGAUUCUAAUGAUGGAGGUAUUUGGUGUUUGCAAAUAAGCAUCAGGAAGUUCUUUAGCUUAAUCCAAGAGUUCUGCAAAGGGCAGCUUCAAGUAUAAAAUUUCAGAAGUGUUUUAUGUAUUAAGUUUCCAAAAUAACAUUUUCGAGGGAAUUAUUGAAUUCAGUGCAAAGACUAAGCUGUCCAGAGGGGGUAGUUGAGCAUUCUAAGCCUCCCAAGACUGGGACUAACCCCCCUAAGCCUGGGAUAUCCAGGAACCUCAAGGAGACCUGGCUGAGCUACUCGCCUGAUCUGGAACAACAUGAGCUCUUUGUCCACCUAAUAUUUUCUCUUUCUAAGAGAGGAUUCUAACUAGGUCACUUUUUUACCGUCUAAUCAGGAGCUUUCCUGCCAAGUGGCCUCAGAAGUUGCUGGCCUCCCUUAUUAUAUACACCACGGUCAGUUUAACCUUGGGCCUCGCCAUGACGGAUGGGUUUCUGUUCUCAUCAGUUAAGUCCAAUAUGGGGACGUUGCUUUCAUUCAGUGCACAAGGCAUGAGCCAGCAGAUUGUUUAUGGAAAGAAUCUAGGAGUGGCUUUCUUGAGAAGGGGCCUCUGGGCAUGGUGGUCUUCUUAAAGCUUUAGGGGGUCUCCUCCAGAACCUCUCUAUAUAGGGGGGGUCCAUCUGAUUAAUUUUAAAAACUGACUAAUGGCUUAUUGAAUAUGCCACGGGCUGUUUUGACAUUCUGCAUUCAUCCCCUAGCUAUAUUUGGCCAAAGCAUACCCUGUGACAGUCUCUUAAUGUCACUUAUGAAAAGUGGCCUGUGGAGCUGGCAUUAAGGUGGCUGGAUUCCUAGGUAGGCGGUUUCAAGGGGACCCCUCUGGACAUUUUGAGGGAGGUCACUGAAGACCCAGAAACAGGUUCUUGAUUCUGUAGGAUCAGAUAUGCCAUCUCAGUUCAUUCAGAGCCGAUCUUUUUCGGAACUGAUUCCCAAUGAUUCCACUCAGCAGAGACGAAGUGCUCUCCACAUGACCAAGUUAUUACUUCAUCUCAGAGAAUUGAACUGGUAGCUGACCAGCCCUGAUCCUGUGCGUCAGAGACUCCCCACCAGGGAAAAGGCAUCCCCAGGAGAUCAAAUUAAAGAUUAGAAGGCUUGGUGAAUAUUGAAUUAGAUCAAAGGGACUUGACUAUUCUUAAGGGAUUUCUCUAGCAGGCUGAGGAGGCCUUAAGGAAUCACAUCCCUUCCCUCUAGAGUUGUUUCAGUCUGAAUAACUGAUUUGGAUUAUUCACCUCAAAGCGUCUUCUUACAUCUUGGUUUCAGUUAACUUACUGUCUGUUUCCCUUCAUGGGACCGUUUCUCUUCCACUGCCAUUAACAGCGUAGUUUGGAGUUAAGAGCAGGGUUGGAAUCCCAGCAGUAACACUCACUGUGUGACAGCGAACAAGCAAACAACUUUCAGCCCCCUCAGACUUCAAAAUCCUCAUAGUUAAAAAUGGGAACCGUCAGAGCCUCCUUGCCAGCUCGUUGGGAGGAUUAAUGAAAUAAGUUUCUGGCACUGCGUCUGCCACAUCAUAGCUGCUCAGUGAAUGGUAGCUAGCAUGAUUAUUUACAUUAUGUAGAGUUAUUUCUUCUUGAUGAGACAUACCAGGACCCAUCACCUACAAACUGACAAAACUGCUCCAAAGGCUUGUUAUUUCUUUAACAUGUUAAUCCUAUGUUUCUGACAUCGUAGUGGUUAAUUUUAUACUGAUUUUUUUUUUUUAUCCUGAAUUUCAGAGACUGACAUUUUAUGACCUCAUCCCUAAUUGUGAGGAGGGUGUAUCCAAUUUGGGACUUGCAGCCAUCCAUGAGCUAUAUGAAAUUUAGUAAUGCCUGUUGGGCUUUCAUAGGUCAAAUAUCUGAGAUCUGAUUCUCUCGUGGAACAAAGCACACUCUAGUAAAGUUUGGCAAACUCCCUACAAUUAAUAAAAAAAAAAGAAAUUAAAAAAGCAUGUCCUUUAGGGAAACCCUUAGAAUUUUCCUCAUUUGGAGUUGUAGCUGGCCUGUUGUGCUGUUUUACAAAGAGAGGGCAAACUCAUUAAUGUUUUUGGAUCCUACAGUGUUGAGAUAUUUCUCAAAAGUUCAAACAGGCUUUGAUUUCUUUAUCCGUUUUGGAAGCCUCAGACUUUUCAGAGCCCUUCAUUAUGGCAAUUGAUGCAUUUUAGACAAGAUUGGAUGUGAUUAUAAGAACUCUGAGGAUAUAAAACAUAACUGCUUUUCUAAAUUUCUGAGCAGUUGUUACCAAAGGAAAGAAUUUGACUUCUGUCCAGAGGAGUAUCUGAUUUGUUUGGACUUUGGAUAAACUCGAGCCAUACAUGUUUGGCCAAGAGUUUAAUUUGUGGACUGAUCCUCAAGCUCUGAGCAAGACCCCGGCUGCAGAAAGCCAUGACACUUCAGGAUCUCAUGUGAUCUUAAACAUGUUUUUGGACAGAAAAAUAGGCCAAAAAAAAAAAAAA